rnacentral:pre_miRNA from 1 species
UUAGCUCAUAUUUGUAUGGAAUGGGAUCGUUUGCGUACGUUUGCCGCUAGGGGCGCUGUUCCAACUCCAUACAAAAUUUGGUUA